GGCAGUGUAGCAUAGUGGUUAAGGAGCACGACUUGUGACCGAAAGGUUACUGGUUCGAUUCCCCAGUGGGGCACUGCUG